CUUCCUUACACAAACUCUCCACAGAGGAGUUACAGGAAAGAGGAGAAAGAGUACUUCCAGAAGGAUAAUAUAGGCUGAAUAGAUACAGUCCUUAGGAGGACAUGAUUUGAACAAACAGGACAAAAGGAUUACAAAACUGCCACUAACUCAAGUUCUCUGUAAAUUGAUUCUUUAAAACUCCUAUACAUGUGUGCAUGAAAGUGUGCGCACACACACUCUAAAUUUUGGUGAACAGCAUCAUCAGCUACUUGUCAACUAAGAUCUUCAACCACCACUAAACAUGGCUCACAUGAUCUGUAUUUUACUCGAAAAGCAGCAGACUUUUGGAGAAAAUCAAGAAGAGAAGAGCAUGUCAAGUUUUGCACAGUAGUUUACCCUGGCUCCAAAAUAACACAGACUGCCAUUUCACCGGAGUAGCUACUGAAGCUUGCUAUUAGAGCUGCUACGACUGGGAAGACAAAAACGGGGAAAUUUUAAAAGUGUAAGUGUGUAGAAGGACUCAACAAUUUGAUCCUCCUACCACUGGGAAGGGGA
rnacentral:lncRNA from 1 species